UAAUGUUACCAAAAGAUUCGAACCAGAUACCGAAUUUAGAACGGGACGAAUGAUAUGGGGUAAGCCAAUCAAAGUACAGAAACCAAUAAUUGAUCCGAUCAGAUUGACAAAACCUGGUCGUAAGAGGAGUCUCUUUGAUCGGAGUGCGAUCUAGAUGGAUUUGAGACAAUGAGCUUUGGAUCAAUUAGGCGGACUGUUAAGCUGAGGAGACGAUGGCGAUCUGGAUGAUUAUCGGACGAGUAAAAUGCAGAUGAUGCUGGGCGGAGAGGAUGAUCGGUGUCUGGAAUGCGAAAGGGUUGAACGUCGUGAGUGGAAGAGUGACUUAGGUGAAAUUUAUCUAUUUUAUUUCAUAACCUCAAAGAUACAUCAAGUGCCCUUUUAUAAAGAAAUUACAUAAGUGUGCGGAAUGUAAAUUGCACAAAAUAAAUCUAAUUAUAAGUCAAUCUAUUACAAUCAAAUUACUUCUAAAAUACUAAUUACUUACCAUAACCUGCUAAUCUGACCGACGGCUUCCUGAUCUGGGUAAAUGGAUCUCUAACGCUCGGUGGGCGAUGUAUUUCCCUCAAAUCCGUGUUUCUUGUUACGUGUUCUGUUUUCUGGAAUGUCCAUCAGUUCAACUCUUCCCACCAAGUCUUUCAUAACGGCUUCCGUAACAACGAAUUUUAGUAUAAAAAUUUAAGUCUUGA
rnacentral:lncRNA from 1 species